CAAUAGCGUAUAUUAACGUUGUUGCAGUUAAAAAGCUCGUAGUUGGAUUUCUGGAGGGAGCGUCGGCCCGUAUUUACGAGUGCGUGACGUCUCUGUCCAUCCUUGCGGGAAGGCACGGCAUUGAUUUGUUGUGUCGGAUCGCAUCAUUUACUGUGAAAAAAUUAGAGUGUUCAAAGCAGGCUUUCGCUUGAAUACAUUAGCAUGGAAUAAUAAGAUAGGACUUUGGUGCUAUUUUGUUGGUUGAGCCUAAAGUAAUGAUUAAUAGGGAUAGUUGGGGGCACCUGUAUUGCGUUGUCAGAGGUGAAAUUCUUGGAUUUACGCAAGACAAACAGCUGCGAAAGCGUCUGCCAAGGAUGUUAUCAUUAA
rnacentral:rRNA from 1 species